CCACCGCGUCUUCUGUUCCUUUCCCUCCCGUCUCCCCGCACCCUGCCGCCGUGCCGCCUAAGCCUCGCCGCCCUCGUCGCGGGAGGCCUCGGUCCGCCGCCCAUCACCGAUGAAAAAUUCCGAACCCAAAACUCUAGGAUCCCUGCGCAGCGGCAGUGGAGGAAGAGGACUACGAGUGCCUGCGCGGGGUGCUUCAGCUGAUCAGCUCCGCGGAGCGGACGCGUCUCGCGCAACCGCGGAACCGGCCGCCUCCCUAUCCCGUCGCCGGCCUCCCGCUCUCCAGUUCUGCAUGAUGCAUGGUGGAAUUAUGCACGCCGUGUGCUGCAGAUCCUUGGAGCUAUACAGUCAGCUACAUAUUUACAUGGCUGUCAUUAUUUAACCUGAAUCGACGAAUCCAUUUGAACCCAGAAUGGCCUCUUACCAAGAAAAAGCUGCUGCGUGAGGUGCAGUUUCCACAUUGUUUGCAGCAAUAUUAAAACACCUAGCCAAGGCUGAUUGAGUCCACGCUUUGUCUCGGACCUUCUAGGACUGAAGAGUCCGACUGGGGGGGUCUGAGUUCUCAACACCCGCCACCACAUGCCUGUCUCGCAAGAUACCAACUGGACGUCCAACAGUUGAAUUGCUAGAUACCAAUUGGACCUCCCAGUCUUUAAGACCUUUCCUAAAGAUUGAGUCCACGCUUUGUCGGAGAUGAAGAACUGGACGUAGGCCUCUCCGUCCCUCAGAUGUUAUUUUUAGGAAGGGCUCUAUCAGGAAUCGAUUCUUCAGGGGCAUGGCUGUAAACUUCCAGUACCAAAAGACAUAGCUGUACUGCGCCCACUCUGCCCGCCAUUCGUAGUGCUCAGUACCCAGGACCAGGAGACUUCUCGCUCCAAGUCCCAGGGACACCAGCCGGCGGCGCCCCACCUGUGGCCACUCAGAAGCAGUCACGUCAGAACCGCGGUCACACCCAGGGCAGCGGGGAGGACCAACCAUGGGUCGACACCGCCGGCGAGAAAAACGUCCCACACGGUCCGUUGCUAACUACUCCCAAAAACGAAACGCAGACAAGGUAAUCAAAAGAAGAGAGAGAGAAGAAAUUCUUUGCCCUCACCGGAUUCCUUUUUACUUGAAAGGGGAAGACGAGGACGCAUGGUUCUUUCGCGGCAGUGUCAUGUGGUGGGGAUGGUGCUGGAAUGAAGUGGCUGCCGCGGCCUGCUAUUGGACGGUAGCUGCAUUGGACGAUAGCUGCAUUGGACGAUGAGAAGGUACUGGUACUAGUAAUGGAUCACGUCGGGAGGCGUACGUCAAUCACAUGGAGACAAGUCCUUUGGUACGAUGCUAACCGCUACCACUAGUCUCGUAGUACUACUAGCGACUAAUUAACGAAUACCUAAACUGGUAGAUUUUUUGUUUUCUUUUACUUGAAUGGUCGAUGCAUGCUGUGUAUGUAUACCCUUGCCAAUUAAUUUUUUGUGAUUACUGAUUACGAGAAAUCCAGUAAUAUAAUUUCUAUAUAGCAAUCCUAAGUUUUUUUUAAUAUCUAUCAGCUGAUAAAGUUCUAAAAAGUUGAUUGCACACACUUUAUACGACAUCGAUUGAGGUAGUCACGUGUUAUGGGUGAGACUAUUCACUUUUCUUCGUUUGCUUAGUAGUAUUGAAGUAGGUAAUUUAACUAGGAAAGACACCCUCUAUUUCAGAAUAUUAGUAUGUUCAUUUUCUACCCUUAUUUUAAUGUUGUCAAAGAGGUCUAAAUAGCUAUAGACUUUGUAAAAUGCUAUUUAAUAUGGUUAUACUUGGUUCAUUGCCAUAAUUUUUUUUCUUAUAUUUGGUGCCUUCACAACUCAUAUUUAAUGAGCUAAUAAGAGAAAAAAAUUGAUUAGGCAAGAAGAGACGUGUAGUAGGGGUAUGAUAGUUAUUUCGUGAAUUUCUUUGAUACAUACAAGUGGGCAAGGCUAGUAUUACCCCAUCCUUAUCAGUUUGAACAGUGAGCUGGUCUCUAUAUGUCUUUGUUUGUUCUUGUUUUUAAUUAAAUGUUUCAUAAAUAUAAUGAUAUCGAAGUACUUUACAGCAUAUCGAAGUACAUAAUUACCAUGUGGCAAAUCUAACAUCUAUGUAUAUUUAUGGUGACAUUUAAAAAGAUGAUUUGUGCCUUUGUAAAUCAAGUCACGUAUGUAGAGAGAGAGAGGCCAACCGAGCUACUGGUUAGGAUCUUUACAGUGGAAUCUGCCUACCCAGAUUUGAGUCAUAGACUCGGUAUGGAUGCUCGUUUUUGUUGAAAUUACAUCCCGAGAGGAAUAAUAUAUACACACGUAGGUGUAUUCAGUAGUCAAAGUGCGUGCCUGCGCUACUUGAGGUUAUGCCUUCAAUAUUGUUUAAAUGUAUAUUAGGAUGCACAAACGUGGGUUUAUAUGGGUGUGAGUGUGGUGUACAUGUAUGAGUGUGUGUCCAAAUUGUACUUAAAGAGAGAGAUUAAGUGUUGCUCCUAUUGGCGUUCUUAUGGCAGGCAUAACUCAAAUAAUAAAAUAUUUUUUUUCAGCCGGUCUACGAGCGGUUGCACAAUCUCUUAGUUAUGAUAAAAUGCUAUUAACUUUUUGUAUCCUAGCAAUAUCUCUACUCGUGAUUCGUUAAAAUAUGAACUUUUUCCUUAAAAUACAUUGAAUACGUAUCUUUCUUUUCUUACUCUGUAUUCAGGUUGGAAAGUUAAACUAGAUAGCUAUAUGAGUGAAGCAAAACAACUAUAAUUUGUACUAAAAAGAAGAAAAAAAUCUAGAGGGAGGGAGGGAGAGAGAGUCAUGUAUAAUUUAUUGAAUGUGUUGCACAAAAUUACAAAUAUUGUGCCAUUUGUAAUACAAAACUACAAGUAUUAUAAAUAGCAACACAAAACUACAAGUAUUAUGUACUAAUUUCACACAAAACCCCAUUUAAUUAGAUUCACCAAAAAAUAGUCUUAUGUUUCUCCAAAAAUUCUAGAACGUUUUGUGUGUGUUUCAUAAUCCAUGUGCAACCUAUUUUAAUUGGACUCACCCAAAAAGCAUAUGUAUAUUUUAAACUAAAAUUCUCUAAAAAAACUAUUUUUAUAACUCCUAAUAAUUGUUAGGGCCUUCAAUAAAAUCUAAAAAAUAUGGAAAAAUUCACCAAUAUUCUUCUUAUACUAUGGACUAAUUUUUAAAAUUAUUUCUAGCCCUAGGUUAUAUAGUAAAAAAGUGAAUUACUUUGUAAUGCUUCAUUUAUAUGCUUCAUUUAUAUACUUAC